rnacentral:lncRNA from 1 species
CUAACACAAAAGGCAGGAAAUAUGAGAUGUCGCCGUGACGCCACCAUGGCUACCUAGCCCCUCGCACCGCCGCCAGGCUGCUGGCCAGGAACUGCUCUCCAAAGGCACAGAGCCAAUGUUCCGUUGAGAUUUCAAACUGAGAUUCUUUCCCUCCCUGUUCCAGGUCAGGUGGGAGAAAUAAAGGGGUAUGUCAGAGCCUUCGGCACCAGCAGCGUCAUUUUGAGGAAAUCAUCUUAAACAUCAGAAAAAGCUCUCUGAACAAAACACAUCCACUACAUCACUCAUCAGGAACAUGCAGAACAUUGAACAAAAGGGAAAUAUUAAGUAAAUUAUGGCACAUCCGAUACUUGACUGGAAAAGCCUGAAGACAUUAACUGCCAUGUUUAUGAAGCACUGGUUACAAAACA